rnacentral:rRNA from 1 species
GAUGAACGCUGGCGGCGUGCUUAACACAUGCAAGUCGAACGAAGCACUCAGAUCUCUUCGGAGUGAUGAGUGACUGAGUGGCGGACGGGUGAGUAACGCGUGGGUAACCUGCCUUGUACAGGGGGACAACAGUUGGAAACGACUGCUAAUACCGCAUAAGCGCACAGCUUCGCAUGAAGCAGGGGGAAAAGCUGAGGCGGUACAAGAUGGACCCGCGUUGGAUUAGCUAGUUGGUGGGGUAACGGCCGACCAAGGCGACGAUCCAUAGCCGACCUGAGAGGGUGACCGGCCACAUUGGGACUGAGACACGGCCCAAACUCCUACGGGAGGCAGCAGUGGGGAAUAUUGCACAAUGGGCGAAAGCCUGAUGCAGCGACGCCGCGUGAGCGAUGAAGUAUUUCGGUAUGUAAAGCUCUAUCAGCAGGGAAGAAAAUGACGGUACCUGACUAAGAAGCUCCGGCUAAAUACGUGCCAGCAGCCGCAGUAAGAC